rnacentral:rRNA from 1 species
GGGGAAUAUUGCACAAUGGAGGAAACUCUGAUGCAGCGAUGCCGCGUGAGGGAAGAAGGUUUUAGGAUUGUAAACCUCUGUCUUCAGGGACGAAAAAAGGACGGUACCUGAGGAGGAAGCUCCGGCUAACUACGUGCCAGCAGCCGCGGUAAUACGUAGGGAGCGAGCGUUGUCCGGAAUUACUGGGUGUAAAGGGAGCGUAGGCGGGAUCGCAAGUCAGAUGUGAAAACUAUGGGCUUAACCCAUAAACUGCAUUUGAAACUGUGGUUCUUGAGUGAAGUAGAGGUAAGCGGAAUUCCUAGUGUAGCGGUGAAAUGCGUAGAUAUUAGGAGGAACAUCAGUGGCGAAGGCGGCUUACUGGGCUUUAACUGACGCUGAGGCUCGAAAGCGUGGGGAGCAAACAGGAUUAGAUACCCUGGUAGUCCACGCCGUAAACGAUGAUUACUAGGUGUGGGGGGACUGACCCCUUCCGUGCCGCAGCAAACGCAAUAAGUAAUCCACCUGGGGAGUACGACCGCAAGGUUGAAACUCAAAGGAAUUGACGGGGGCCCGCACAAGCAGUGGAGUAUGUGGAUUAAUUCGAAGCAACGCGAAGAACCUUACCAGGUCUUGACAUCGUAUGCAUAGCUCAGAGAUGAGUGAAAUCUCUUCGGAGACAUAUAGACAGGUGGUGCAUGGUUGUCGUCAGCUCGUGUCGUGAGAUGUUGGGUUAAGUCCCGCAACGAGCGCAACCCUUACUGUUAGUUGCUACGCAAGAGCACUCUAGCAGGACUGCCGUUGACAAAACGGAGGAAGAUGGGGAUGACGUCAAAUCAUCAUGCCCCUUAUGACCUGGGCCUCACACGUACUACAAUGGCUGUAAACAGAGGGAAGCAAAGCCGCGAGGUAGAGCGAACCCCUAAAAGCAGUCUUAGUUCGGAUUGUAGGCUGCAACCCGCCUACAUGAAGUCGGAAUUGCUAGUAAUCGCAGAUCAGCAUGCUGCGGUGAAUACGUUCCCG